UACGAAGGGGGCUAGCGUUGCUCGGAUUUACUGGGCGUAAAGAGCGCGCAGGCGGUCGUUCAAGUCGAGUGUGAAAGCCCCCGGCUCAACUGGGGAGGGUCACUCGAUACUGAUCGACUUGAAGGCAGGAGAGGGAAGCGGAAUUCCCGGUGUAGUGGUGAAAUGCGUAGAUAUCGGGAGGAACACCAGUGGCGAAGGCGGCUUCCUGGCCUGUUCUUGACGCUGAGGCGCGAAAGCUAGGGGAGCAAACGGG
rnacentral:rRNA from 1 species